AACGAACGCUGGCGGCAGGCUUAACACAUGCAAGUCGAACGCGUGCAGCAAUGCACGAGUGGCGCACGGGUGAGUAACGCGUGGAUAUCUGCCUUUUGGUUCGGAAUAACCCCGGGAAACUGGGGCUAAUACCGGAUGGUUCCUACGGGAUAAAGAUUUAUCGCCAAAAGAUGAGUCCGCGUCCGAUUAGCUAGUUGGCGAGGUAAUGGCUCACCAAGGCGACGAUCGGUAGCUGGUCUGAGAGGACGAUCAGCCACACUGGGACUGAGACACGGCCCAGACUCCUACGGGAGGCAGCAGUGGGGAAUAUUGGACAAUGGGGGCAACCCUGAUCCAGCCAUGCCGCGUGAGUGAUGAAGGCCUUCGGGUUGUAAAGCUCUUUUGGCGGGGACGAUGAUGACGGUACCCGCAGAAUAAGCCCCGGCUAACUUCGUG
rnacentral:rRNA from 1 species